rnacentral:rRNA from 1 species
AGAGCGAACGCUGGCGGCAGGCCUAAUACAUGCAAGUCGAACGAGCCCUUCGGGGCUAGUGGCGGACGGGUGAGUAACACGUGGGAACGUGCCUUUUGGUUCGGAACAACUCAGGGAAACUUGAGCUAAUACCGAAUGUGCCCUUCGGGGGAAAGAUUUAUCGCCAUUAGAGCGGCCCGCGUCUGAUUAGCUAGUUGGUGAUGUAAAGGCCCACCAAGGCUACGAUCAGUAGCUGGUCUGAGAGGACGAUCAGCCACACUGGGAUUGAGAACGGCCCAGACUCCUACGGGGGGCAGCAGUGAGGAAUUUUCCGCAAUGGAGGCAACUCUGACGGAGCAACGCCGCGUGCAGGAUGAAGGUUUUCGGAUCGUAAACUGCUUUUCUCGGGGACGAGCAAGGACGGUACCCGAGGAAGAAGCCCCGGCUAACUACGUGCCAGCAGCCGC